AAGCGUUUGUGACCAGAAUCGCGCUCGGCGGAUCAUCCGGCGUUCUCGCCGGUGCACUCUGCCGUGCCCAGGCCAGCGUCGGUUCUUUUCGGGGGGAUAAAAGCUCUGGGAAUGUGGCUCCUCCGGGAGUGUUAUAGCCCUAGGCAGAAUACCCUCGUGGGGACUGAGGUUCGCGCUCUGCAAAGACGCUGGCAUAAUGGUCACCAGCGA
rnacentral:rRNA from 1 species